rnacentral:piRNA from 1 species
UGACAUCCCCGACUAACUCCUGCUUUAC